rnacentral:rRNA from 1 species
GACGAACGCUGGCGGCGUGCUUAACACAUGCAAGUCGAACGAAGAGCGAUGGAAGCUUGCUUUCUAUCAAUCUUAGUGGCGAACGGGGAGUAACGCGUAAUCAACCUGCCCUUCAGAGGGGGACAACAGUUGGAAACGACUGCUAAUACCGCAUAGAUUCAAUCUCGGCAUCGAGGAUGGAUGAAAGGUGGCCUCUAUUUAUAAGCUAUCACUGAAGGAGGGGAUUGCGUCUGAUAGCUAGUUGGAGGGGUAACGGCCCACCAAGGCGAUGAUCAGUAGCCGGUCUGAGAGGAUGAACGGCCACAUUGGGAAUGAGACACGGCCCAGACUCCUACGGGAGGCAGCAGUGGGGAAUUUUCCGCAAUGGACGAAAGUUUGACGGAGCAAC